UUUAAACAUUUUUUAAAACUUUUUUAUUGAAGUUAUAGUUGGGGUACAAUAUUAUGUAAGUUAUAGGUGUACAAUAUAGAGAAUCAUAAUAUGGGAGCAGUUUUAAAGUCACUAUAACAUUAAAGUCACUAUAAUGGAGAUAAAACAGAAAUUUUAGGAAAGUAGCAUAAAAGGAUAAAGAUAAUAAAAAUUGAAGAGAAAUGAAAAUUGGAGCAUCAAUAUAGGCGGUCAAACAUCUGAAUAUUAGGAGUUCCAAAGGGAAAUCGUGGAGGGAAGAUUGUAUUAAAUAGUUUCCAAAAAUUCCCAGAAUUGUGGAAAAUUUUCCAGAUUAAAAAGCACGGAGACAUUUUCCAAAGACCCCUGCAACAGCUCGCAUUUCACAGGCUCUUCUACAAUGUGGUCUUAGCACUCAUCCCCAUUGAGAAACAGGACCUCUGUCCCAUCCCUGGAAUCUAUAACCAGAUGCGUGAAACCAAUUCAGUGCAGUGGAAGUAAUCCUGCACAGAUUCCAAAGCUGGGCUUGCAUUUUGCUCACUAGAGUACCUGCACCUAAAGCCCUGAGACGCCACGUGAGAAGUCCUAUCUGAGGCCACCUUGCUGUAAGGAAGCCAAGACACGUAGUGAAGACACACAUAGAUACUCAGGUUGAAAGCCCCAGCUGAGCCUUUAGCUACAUCACCAGCCAACUUUGUAAGUGAGCUAUCUUGGACAUCCAUCCCGUCUAGUCAAGACUUUAGAUAACCACAGUCCCAGCUAAUACCUGUCUGAAGCUGCAUGAGAAUGCCCAAGAGAAAGCUGCCCAGCCUACCCUUCCCAAAUUUAAGCUAUAGUUGGUUUUUUGGUUGGUUGGUUGGUUGGUUGGUUACACAGCAAUAACUACAGGAAAAAAGCGCUACUGUCUGCCCAGCACAAUAAAUAGGGACUAGGGGAGGGGACCAAUACAUCAGGCAGGUUGUUGAGAAAUUUGAGACGACCAGGGAUAGGGAUGAUCUUAAAAACUUCCAGCAACAGAAAACGAACAAAAAUACAGGGGAAAGAGUUCCAAUUUAAAAUUCUAUUUCCAUUCAAAUGAGGCAUCUAAUAUAAGGGUAGAAAUAAAGACAUGUUAGAUAAGCAAGCUCAGAAGGCUGCUGAAAGAUGAGCUCCAUCAAAAUGAGAAAGCAAACCAAGGCAGAAAAAAAUAAUGUAACUCGGAAUCCACGAAAUAUCCAAGCUGUAUCACAAAGAUGGUUUCCCAGAGGGUCAUGAACAAAAGAAAAUGAACCCAGCACAUCCCCUGACGCACAUGACAAUACUGAGUGGAGCUUGACACUUGGUGAGGAGAGGUCUGGGUUAAGCAGGGCAGGGAACACAGAAAACCGAACAAGUGAAAAACAAGGCAAUUGACUCCAGGAAAAACAGAGAGGUGUGCCUAAAGGAUAUGUAAUCAUAAAUCAGUCCAGGGGGGUUCCCGUUGUGGCUCAGCAGGUUAAGAACCUGAUGUUGUCUUUGUGAGGAUGCAGGUUCAAUCCCUGGCCUUGUUCAGUGGGUUAAGGAUCCAGUGUUGCCGUAAGCUAUUGCAUAGGUCACAGAUGUAGCAACGCUGGAUCCUUUAACCCACUUUGCUGAGCUAGGAAUUGAACUUGUACCUCCAUAGCAACCUAAGCCACUGCAGUCAGAUUCAUAACCCACUAUACCACAGUGGGAGCUCCUAAGUCUUUAUUGAUAAACAUGAAGUUAAUCACUGGAGAAAUCCCUGUAAAAGCUGAUCAGUGUUUGUUCUGGGGAGGUAGGGUUGGGCCUGCAGACUUGGUGGUACAAGGAUGAGGAAGUUCUGCUCCUAGUACUUCUUUUUUUCCCUCGGUGAAAACAUUUCUCUAGGAAUGAUGGAGAUUUGAAGAGAAUGAGAUAUGAAAGAGGCUUCUCAGAGAAUCUAGGGGAUGUAGGACACAGUAGGGAGAUCCUGAGUGCCAACUUGCACACAUGACCCAGCAUCACCACGUCUCUGAACACCUCUCUCUCUGUACAUGGCUCAGCUGCCUCUCCCACACCAGCUGUCGCAGACUCAGGUCAAGAUCAGACCCUUCCCCUUCACUGGACGGCUGUGGCAACGCCCUCUCCAGAUUCAGGCCUUGUCUUGCUGACGUUCCCCACAUGCAAUUUUUAAAAUAAAAUGUGCCCAGAUCUCCUCCUCCAUCC
rnacentral:lncRNA from 9 species